AACGAACGCUGGCGGCAGGCCUAACACAUGCAAGUCGAACGCACCUUCGGGUGAGUGGCAGACGGGUGAGUAACGCGUGGGAACCUUCCCUGUGGUACGGAAUAGCUCCGGGAAACUGGAAUUAAUGCCGUAUACGCCCUUCGGGGGAAAGAUUUAUCGCCAUAGGAUGGGCCCGCGUCGGAUUAGCUUGUUGGUAGGGUAAUGGCCUACCAAGGCAACGAUCCGUAGCUGGUCUUAGAGGAUGAUCAGCCACACUGGGACUGAGACACGGCCCAGACUCCUACGGGAGGCAGCAGUGGGGAAUAUUGGACAAUGGGCGAAAGCCUGAUCCAGCCAUGCCGCGUGAGUGACGAAGGCCUUAGGGUUGUAAAACUCUUUUGGCGGGGACGAUAAUGACGGUACCCGCAGAAUAAGCCCCGGCUAACUCCGUG
rnacentral:rRNA from 1 species